GUUACUUGUUAUUGGUAAAUAGCCACUGUGGAGACUAAGGACCAAAAGAAACACAGAAAGAAAUUUUACAGAAGAAAAACAGUGGGCCCAAAGCUGAAAAGAAAAAGAAGCAGCAUCUGCAGGAUCUCCAGCUAGGGGAUGAAGAAGAUGUCUGGAAGAGAAAUCCCAAAGCUUUUGCAAUUCAGUCUGCUGUGGGGAUGGCUUGAUCCUUUCACAGGACUCAGGAUUUGAAGACAAAAAAGCAUCAUAUUCCAGUGGUUGAUCAGACUCCACUAGAGCCGCCACCAAUAGUGAUAGUGGUGACGGGGCCUCCAAAAGUUGGAAAGAGCACUUUGAUAUAAUGCCUCAUUGGGAACUUCACCCAGCAGAAGUUGACCGAGAUCAGAGGCCCUGUGAUGAUCGUGUCAGGUAAAAAGCUCCGACUCACCAUUAUUGAAUGUGGGUGUGACAUUAACAUGAUGAUUGAUCUGGCUGAAGUAGCAGAUCUGUACUGAUGCUUAUAGAUGCCAGCUUUGGGUUCGAAAUGGAAACCUUUGAGUUUCUCAACAUCGGUCAAGUACGUGGCUUUCCUAAAAUUAUGGGAGUUCUCACUCACCUCGACUCCUUCAAGUAUAAUAGGCAACUGAAGAAGACAAGCAAUUAAAACACAGGUUCUGGACAGAAGUUUACCUGGUUGCCAAGCUGUUCUACCUUUCUGGAAUGGUGCAUGGAGAAUAUCAAGACCAAGAAAUCCACAAUCUGGGCCAUUUUAUUACAGUUAUGAAGUUUAGGCCUCUCACAUGGCAGACGUCUCAUCCUUAUAUCCUGGCAGACAGGAUGGAAGAUUUGAAAAACCCAGAGGAUAUCUGAACAAAAUGUGACUGGCAGGUGUCACUUUAUGGUUAUUUAAGAGGAGCACACUUGAAAAAUAAAAGCCAAAUUCACAUGCCAGG
rnacentral:lncRNA from 1 species